GCAGAACGCGAAGAACCUUACCUGAGCUUGAACUGUUUGGGCUAUUUCCAGAAACGGAGAGUUCCCUUCGGGGACCCGAACGCAGAGGUGCUGCAUGGCUGUCGUCAGCUCGUGUCGUGAGAUGUUGGGUUAAGUCCCGCAACGAGCGCAACCCUCGUCCUGUGUUGCCAUUUUGGGUACUCACAGGAGACCGCCAGCGAUAAGUUGGAGGAAGGUGGGGACGACGGUCAAGUCAUCAUGGCCUUUAUGUCCAGGGCUACACACGUGCUACAAUGGGCGGUACGAACGGGUCGCGAAGCCGCGAGGCGGAGCUAAUCCCUAAAAACCGUCCUACAGUUCGGAUUGCAGGCUGCAACUCGCCUGCAUGAAGCUGGAAUCGCUAGUAAUGGCGUAUCAGAAUGACGCCGUGAAUACGUUCCCGGGUCUUGUACACACCG
rnacentral:rRNA from 1 species